rnacentral:rRNA from 1 species
GAUGAACGCUGGCGGCGUGCCUAACACAUGCAAGUCGAACGGAGCUGCUUUGAUGAGAUCUUCGGAUGGAUUUAAAACAGCUUAGUGGCGGACGGGUGAGUAACGCGUGGGUAACCUGCCUCACACUGGGGGAUAACAGUUAGAAAUAGCUGCUAAUACCGCAUAAGCGCACGGUUCCGCAUGGAACAGUGUGAAAAACUCCGGUGGUGUGAGAUGGACCCGCGUCUGAUUAGCCAGUUGGCGGGGUAACGGCCCACCAAAGCGACGAUCAGUAGCCGGCCUGAGAGGGUGAACGGCCACAUUGGGACUGAGACACGGCCCAAACUCCUACGGGAGCAGCAGUGGGGAAUAUUGCACAAUGGGGGAAACCCUGAUGCAGCGACGCCGCGUGAGUGAAGAAGUAUUUCGGUAUGUAAAGACUCUAUCAGCAGGG